rnacentral:rRNA from 1 species
UACGGGGGGGGCAAGCGUUGUUCGGAAUUACUGGGCGUAAAGGGUUUGUAGGUGGCUUGCUAAGUCAGACGUGAAAUCCCUCAGCUUAGCUGGGGAACUGCGUCUGAUACUGGUGAGCUUGAGUGCAGGAGAGGAACGCGGAAUUCCAGGUGUAGCGGUGAAAUGCGUAGAUAUCUGGAGGAAUACCGGUGGCGAAGGCGGCAUCCUGGACCGGCAUUGACGCUGAGGAGCGAAAGCCAGGGGAGCAAAGCAGGG